rnacentral:rRNA from 1 species
AUUGAACGCUGGCGGCAGGCCUAACACAUGCAAGUCGAACGGAGUGGCGGACGGGUGAGUAAUGCCUAUGAAUCUGCCUGGUAGUGGGGGAUAACGUCCGGAAACGGGCGCUAAUCCCGCAUACCAUCAGAUUAGCCUAGGUCGGAUUCGCUAGUUGGUGGGGUAAAGGCCUACACAGGCGACGAUCCGUACCUGGUCUGAGAGGAUGAUCGGUCACACUGGAACUGAGACACGGUCCAGACUCCUACGGGAGGCAGCAGUGGGGAAUAGUGUGCAAUGGGCGAAAGCCUGAUCCAGCCAUGCCGCGUGUGUGAAGAAGGUCUGCGGAUUGUAAAGCACUUUAAGUUGGGAGGCGUUACCAACAGAGUAAGCACCGGCUAACUUCGUGCCAGCAGCCGCGGUAAUAC